AUGAUAUUUAAAUUUUUAUAUAUGGUUAAUUGUAUUAUAUAGUUUGUGAAGAACUAUAGUAUUGGGCGUAAUUUUGAUGAAAAUUUUCCGACUAAUCCAAAGCCAAACCCAAGGCAAAAACAUGGGAAUUUACGAUCAUGGAAAAUCCAAAAGUGAAAGUGACGAUUGAUCCCAAGAUGCAGACACUGUUCUGACACGCCAUGAACAAAUUCUGAAUCUAAUUAAAGCAAACUGACACACUGCCAUUCACAGCACAUCUUUUAUUUUUAACCCACCAAUUUCUGCUCUCUUUAUCUUCAUCUGUAUAUAAGUUGAUAAAUUUCUCUUUACGCUACUCACCCACGAGAAAUUUUAUCCUAACACACUGCCUGGUUCACUCAUUUUCCUCUCUUUUCUCUGCUUCUCCCCAAGCUCUUGUUUUUAUCGGUGCUUGCUUUUCGGAUUCUGGGUUUUGAAAAACCAUUCCUGGGUAAAUCUGAAUUGCCAAUGGUUUGAUCUGGGUUGGUGAGAGAAGAAGGGAGGGAGAGGGGGAGGAGGAGGGCAGAUACACAAAUACAAACAAUGGAAAUUGAGAGGAUCAAGGAGCUGAUGCUCCUUUGGUGUAGAACCAAAAGGACCUGUGGCGCUCUCGUGGGUGGAAACCACACCGCAUCCAGGUUUUGUACUCGCUAAAUUAUAUUUUUCUUGCGUUGUGUUGGAUUCCUUUUUUUCCAGAUCUCUUGAUUCAUCAUCAUCUUUUGGCAUCUGGGUACUUGCCAAAUCGGCCGACAAGUUCUUUUUUUUUCGCGUGAUUACGAUUGAAAUCCACAGAUUUGAAAAGUUUUCCCUUGAGAAAUUCAGGUGGAAAGGCAAAAAGCCAUGGAAUUUGCUCGCGGGUAUCGAGCCAAGGAACAGAACAAGAUGAAGCAUUCGCUGGAUGGUGGCAUUGAUUUAAAUUCUGAUUCCAUCUUGGUAAUUAAGCUUCCUGAUUCACAGGUUCUGCGUAUUGUGUCUCGCUCGUUGUUUUUGGCUGUUGUUAUUAUUACGCUACCUUGCAUUGGUUCCAUUUUAAGGGAACUUUCUUCAACUUCUAAUUACAAUCUAUACGCAGAAGAUUUGGAUUCUUAUUUGAUUGAUGUUGAAUUCUUGGACUCACUGCUGCUAGAUUUGGCUGAUGAGGGCCUUAUCGAGAAGGGCGAUAAAGCUCUCUUUGUAAGCUCCGGCAUUGGGGCUGUGAUUGAUAAUUCACGAUUCUUGAAUGCCAAUGAAAUUGAUUUGGUAUUGGGAUCUGAUCUGGGGCAGCCAUUGUUCCAUGAUGCAUCAUUUGAUUUUGUAUUUGCAUUUGGAAUUGAAGAUAUUGGAUUCCUAGACCGCAUUGUGAAAGUUGGCGGUGUUCUGGUUACUCAGUUGAGUGACCUUCCGAAUGCUCUCCAGAAGAAAUCAAAUUAUAAAGUUGUUUAUCUCAGGCGAUAUAGUUCAACCAUUGUGGCAAUGAGAAAGACAAGUUUGGCAAAUGAACUGGUCGACUUCUCUUCGAGGAGGCAGCUCUGUGAGUUAGGAUUGGAGGCCAAGAAAACAUCAUUGGAUGGCUUGGAAGAUGUUCUGCUUGAGCCCCCAAGAAAGGUUUUAGCAACAUCUAGAAAAUUCCUGAAGAAAUUCAACUAUCUUCCUGAUUUGUUAGGGGAUUCUUUAGAAGAUUAUCCACGUCGAGUUUUUGUUGAUGUGAGCUUGCAAGAGGAGAAGGAUAGUGUAAUGACUUGGUUUAAUGAGAGCUAUCCAACUAGGAAUCGAGAAUUUGAGAUAUACAACAUCGAAGAAGGAGUGUCAAAGGCAGUGGCGCCAAGUGUUGAUGUUUCAAAUUGGUUGAUGAAGAAUGUGAGGCAAGAUGAGUUUGUUGUGAUGAAGGCAGAAGCAGAAGUGGUGGAGGAGCUGAUAAGGAGGAGGACUAUUGGUUUGGUGGAUGAACUAUUUCUAGAGUGCAAGAAUCAGUGGCAGAAUGGGGAAGGGAAGAAGAGCAAGAGGGCUUAUUGGGAGUGUUUGGCUUUGUAUGGAAGGCUGAGAGAUAAAGGAGUUGCUGUUCACCAAUGGUGGGGUUGAGAAGAACAAAGAAAGCUAUAAAGAGAAGAGAGAGAGAGAGAGAGA
rnacentral:misc_RNA from 1 species